rnacentral:rRNA from 1 species
UACGUAGGGUCCGAGCGUUGUCCGGAAUUAUUGGGCGUAAAGGGCUCGUAGGCGGUUUGUCGCGUCGGGAGUGAAAACUCAGGGCUCAACCCUGAGCGUGCUUCCGAUACGGGCAGACUAGAGGUAUGCAGGGGAGAACGGAAUUCCUGGUGUAGCGGUGGAAUGCGCAGAUAUCAGGAGGAACACCAGCGGCGAAGGCGGCAUCCUGGACUGGUCCUGACACUCAUGAGCGAAAGCGUGGGGAGCGAUCCGG